ensembl:snRNA U2 U2 spliceosomal RNA
AUGUUUUUUGUUUGUUUAAUAAAAAAAAUCUAUUCUUAUCGGUUUAUUAUCUGAUACGUACCCUGUCACGGGACCACAUAUUAAAUGAAUUUUUGGAACAGGGUGCUGGAUCAGGAGCUUGCUCCAUCCUCUCCACGCAUCAGGCUGGUAUUGCAGCGUCUCUGGGAACCUUCUCUCAGUGGUGAAAAGACA